UGUGUCUAAUAAUUAUUUAAAAUUAUUAAAAUAAUUAGUUAAAACAAAAUUAAUAACUAUCUUUUUACAAUUAACUAACAUUAUAUAUAAAUACCUAAUUUUUAUUUAUAGAUUUAAGCCACAAAUAAAUUAAUGAGAAAUAACCUAGGAUGACCUAAAUUUUUUUAUCACAAAUAUAAAAUGACAAAAUGUUUCAUUAGAGAGACAAAUAGACAAAAAAAUUUCUUUAAAAUCCUAGAACCUACCCCCUAACCCACUCAUCAAAUUUAAAUAACAAGUCUACAUUAGUUAGCCACAUGGAUGUAAAUGUCUUUUAUAUUUUUUAAUAAUUUUUUUUGGUCAUAUUGACUCUGUUAUGUUUGUUACAAAAGAAAUUUCUCUUUGUGAUUUAUAAAGGUUUUAUAUAAAAUAAUUCGUGAAAGCUUAUAAAUGUGUUGUAUAAAGAAAUUACUUACUUGCAAAGGGUUUGUAAAAAUCAGAUGUAAGAAUUCAUAAAACAGAGAAUUAUGAUUUAUAAAGGCAUAUAAAUAAUUUAUAAAAACUUAUAAAUCUAUGUAAGAUAAUUUAUAUAAUAGUAAAUAAUUUGUAAAGGCUUAUAAAACUAUGUAAAAUAUUAGAUUUAAGAAUUAUCUAAGUAUUUGCAAGCUUUAAUAUUUAUGAAAGUUAAUAGGAUUUAGAAAGGUUCUAUAUAAAGUAAUUAGCCAAUUCUUAUAAAUAUUUUAUAUAAAAAGUAUAAGGGUUAUAAAGUUUAUAAGGUCUUAUUAAUUAUUGGGUUUAUAAAAAUCAAUUAUAAUAGUUCAUAAAAUAAUGAAUUAGGAUUUAGAAAUGACUAUAAAUAAUUAUAAAGACUUCAAAAUAUGUUUAAAAUAAUUUAUAAAAUUCUAUAAAGUCUUAUACAAUAAAUGUUUAAAAAGAUUUUGUGGUGUAGUGGUUUAAGGUUCUUGCUAUUACUUUCAGCACGGAUUCUUGGUGAUAUAACAUAGUCAAAUCUUUUUGUUUCUCAUUAAAAAAGAGCAAAUUUGUCUUUAACACUUUCAUCUCUUUUAUUAGGUUUUUUUUUUUUCAUUUCUGCAACUCGUCUGUUAGUGUUGGUUUUUUUUCCAUCAAUUAUUAAAUCUAUCUAUAUAUAUAAAAAAAUGUGUGCAUCCCUCCUGUUGUGCCACCUCAUAAAGUCGUUCGCUGCAGAGACGACACGUGUAUCACGGACAGAACACAGCGCUUCUUUGUUUGUUGGCGUUUGUCGUUUGGGCUGUUUCAUCGUUAUGUGUACGUACAAUCCGAUUGGGCUUAGGUUAAGGGUGUGAUUCGGCCCAGUCAACUAUAGUCUGUCCUAACCAUUUUUUUUUUGUCAAAAAAUCUGUUCAUCCCUUCUCUCCCUUAUUCGGCGACGAUGACUGUAGAACUUCCUCAACGUUCAUGAAAUGGAUCUGUGAUUAAUCCCAACAAUUGAGAGGCUGGUCCGGCAAGUGUUCUGCUGCGAUUCUGGGAGGCCAGGAAUGUCAAGCGCUCAUGUGGCUUGAUAUGCUGAUGGUGGACAUUAAUAUCUAGAUGUAUCACUUGGAAAGAUACUCUCUUCCCUGAAACAAAGAAUAUCACCAUUAUUUGUUUCCAGAGGCUGAUAAGAUCAAAGACUGAAACCAAAGGUUAUCAACCACGCUGAUUUAUUUAGAUCGGUUUCAGACAAAUGAAACCAAACUUCAGGAAGAGAAAGUUUGAAAGUUGAUCCCAGCUGGAGUCUCCAGCGUCAUUAUCUCCUACAGAGCUCAAAGGUUUCAGGAGAGACUGUUGGAUCCAAGAGAAGCAAGCAAGAUUAAGCUGAACUUAAUAUAGAAGUGUAAGUGGGAUAUUACAUUGUUGAAGAUGAUUCUUAAAUGUAUCAGUGUGGUUGUCUCAACCGAUCUUAAGCCAGUUGAUUGGUAGCCUUGAGGUGUCAAUCGAUACAAAGCUUCAAACAUCCGCUAUGAAUAUCGACAAUAUUUAUUUUAGCCACUAUGUCUCUCUUACAAUCAUGGUUAAGUUGUUUGUCAAUAAUAUUUGUUUAUGCUGUGUUGGUUGUUGUAAAAGAUCUGUUUCUCUAAACCCAUCAUUAACAUUGCUGAUUUUGGACUGGCAGGUGUGGUUAAUCAUGGUUCACAUUUAUAGAGUAUGUUGUUAUACACCGGUAAAGAUUUGAUUCCCUUUUUGUGUUGCAAUGUCUCUUUUAGAAUAUCAAUACAUGUGUAUAUAUGUACUUAAGUUACAAGUUACCCAUAUGUUGAUUAGUUGACACACCAUUGCUGCCUUACUGACUCUAAAAGCUUUGUUAUGAAGGUAAUCGGUACCUGAAGGUACUUCUGCAGUCCUAUGUAUACACAUUAAAAGUUAGUUAGUAUCAGUUUAUGUGGUACUCCAUCAGGUUCAUUUAUUCUCGGACACUAAUCUUUUGCCUUUUACAUGAUCUUUCAGUGGCUCUGCUCUGGGAUCCAUGCAACAGACCGACUGCUGCAGAGGCUCGGUACGUUCCGUCCUUUCAGGUACACCAGAGAGUAUGUGCUUCAGACGCUAUGGCUGUUACCGUUCCUGUCUUCAUCAGUUGAUUUAACUUUUGUACAUGAUGUUAAGUGUUUGCUGUGCAAUCUCUGUAGCUGCAGAGGCUCUGUACGUUCCGUCCAUUUUUUGUACUGGAAAGAUUUUCUUUUUUUGAAGAUAAUAUUAACAGUUUAUAUUGCCAAGCAGAAACUAUUUAAAUUUUAGUUAACAUUUAGAAAUA